rnacentral:rRNA from 2 species
AUAUGCUUGUCUUAAAGAUUAAGCCAUGCAUGUAUCAGUACAAGCCUCACUAAGGUGAAACCGCGAAUGGCUCAUUAAAUCAGUUAUGAUUUCCUGGCCGAGACAGUGAUACAUGGAUAACUGUGGUAAUUCUAGAGCUAAUACAUGCAACCGAGCCCCAGUCCGGCCUCUCGGGGACGGCGGGGCGCUUUUAUUGGCUGAAAACCGAUGAUCGCCGCUCGCGCGGUGGUCGUUAUUCGAUGAAUCACAAUAACAUUGUGUGGAUCGUACGGUCUUGUACCGACGACGCGCCUUUCAAAUAUCUGCCUUAUCAGCUCUCGACGGUUUGCUAGUGGCUGACCGUGGCUCUGACGGGUAACGGGGAAUCUGGGUUCGGUUCCGGAGAGGGAGCCUGAGAGAUGGCUACCACAUCUAAGGAAGGCAGCAGGCGCGUAACUUACCCACUCCCAGUUCAGGGAGGUAGUGACAAUAAAUACCUUACAGAGGUCUCGUUAACCGAGAUCUCUCAAACGGAAUGAGUACAACGUGAAUCCUUUAACAAGGAUCGACUGGAGGGCAAGCCUGGUGCCAGCAGCCGCGGUAAUUCCAGCUCCAGUAGCGUAUAUUAAAGNUGU